GUUAAAGCUGCCUUUUACUGCUUCCACUCUCCUAACUGUGACGUCAUCAAAUCCUCAUCAGUCUCCAUUGGGAUGGGGAUCGAGCCCCAGGAACAGCAAACAGGACUUUUGCCCUCUCCCAGUUUCUUAGAAUCCAUUUCCUGUGUCCCUCCGGGUUCACAUGAUUCUCUUCCUUCCUCUUCUCCUGUCCCUCAGCCUGAAGAACCCAUGCAGCUGGGUAGCAGUAAGUUAUCUUCAGAGGAACGUGAGUGACGGAGAAGAUAUUCUCAACCUAUGCUUUUAUUGUGGAGGUUUUCGCCUUGGUCCGUCCCCAACUCAUGACAGAAGACUCCAGCCAGUAUUUGAACAAAGAAGACAUAAAGGCUACAGAACCUAUGUGGUGCAUUCAACAGCAGCUGGAGGAGGCAAAACAUUUAUACGAAGAGGUCGAGAUCUUGCCUUCUCCACUGCUGCUGGAGGACAUGCAUCAGGUCUUUUGGGGUUCCAGGCUGGUGCUCGCGCCGCCAGGGUACAGCCCAGGGUAUGCCUCCUCUCCGCCUCCUCUGCAUGGUUGUCUGCCUGGCAAAGAGGAUCCUGGGCCAGCAGGGCUGAUGAACUGUUUGCACCUGCUGCAAAUCAAGCUCAUCACUGAAGCUUAAAAGGUG